rnacentral:lncRNA from 1 species
CAGGGGCAAAUUCCUGCCUGCUGGUCCGGGUGUGGCAGGGGCAUCAGCUGGAUUGUAGCUUGUUUAGGAGAUUCCCGAGGGCCCCUGGAGGUUCCCGCUGGGGCUCAGCCUCCCAGGGGCCCCCCCAGUGUGGCUUCCCACCUUGCCACCUGAAGUCCUGUUUCUCCAUCUGCCUGGUGUCUUCCCAAAUUUUGAACCUAAGCGGAUUAAUCUGUUGAUGCUUUCCGUAUACAUUGGCAGGCAUGGCACCCCAGGCGCAACAACUCCAGAUGGAAGACAUACUAUUACCCCUCAAAAAAAUUCUACAAAAAAAACAGAUGAGGAACAAAAGGAAACAACUUCAAAGGAAGGAGGCAGCCAUGACACGCCAGCCAUUCCAGGCCAGGCACAGCUCAUCAGCCACAGCGGGCCAGGCACACUACCGCAGGCGCGGUACAGCAGCCAAACCACGCCAGGCUCAGCACGGUAGUCACAGCUUGUCAACUACAUCACGCCAGUCACAGCACACCCGGCACAUCACGCCCAGCACAACACACCAGGCACAACACACCGGACACACCAAGCCAGGCAAACCGUACCAGGCACAGCAUACCAGGCAAUCCAAGCCAGGCACAGCACCUCAGGCACAGCAAACCAGAGACACCAUAGCAGGCCCAGCACUUCAAGCACAGCACACCAGGCACAUCAAGCCAGGCACAGCAUGCCAAGCUUGCCACACAAGGCACAGGACACCAAACACAACACACCAGGCACAACACACAAGCCACAGCAUGCCAGGCACAGAAUGCCAGGCUUGCCACACAAGGCACAGGACACCAAACACAACACACCAGGCACAACACACAAGCCACAGCACACCCGGCACCACUCAACAGGCACAGCGCAGCUGGCACGGCGCACCAGACACAACCAGCCAAGUCCACGCUGCGUCUACACUUGCUUUAAGGUAGUAGCAAUCUGCUCUGCUUGGGAAAAGCCUUUCUGAAGGUUAUAAUCCUAUCUUCUCUGCCUGCAAGCUCGAGCCUUUGUUAAUUGAGGAUCUACUGUAUGCAAAGGUCCGAGGUGCAAGAAUCCUUGCCAGUUCUGCUCCAGAUGGAGCAAAUACCAAUACUUAAAAAAAAAAAAAAAAAAAAAAAAACAAAACUUCAAAGCAUAGAAGCGGACCCAAUCCUGGAUCUUCUAAGAUGGCAUAUCUGAAAGAGACGGUUGAGUGAAAGACCUGGAGGCUGAGGACUGGGGAUUGAACCUGGGUCUCAAGACAUGCCGGGCAAAUACUGUAACGGCUGAGCCCCUCCCUGGGAAUUGGGAACCAGCUAGCUAGACUACUGAAUGGUGACCUCAGGUAUGUCCGACCUCCAGGUACAUAGACCCUGCAGAAGAUCCCUCAGCGGGCAGCAGGGGCCCCAACCCUGGCUUGCUUCUUCUCCAGCUUGGCAAAACCCAACCCUGUUGGCUUCGGUGACCUUUCCUGGACCGCUGGCGGAGUGAGGACAAGCAAGGCUACUGUGUGAAGCCUACUGAAGACCUUGAGGGAGCCACAGUAAACAUUGCAACUGUGUUUGAUGAAGAACUUGGCUUUGGGUCCUGCUAGCAGGAAGAGCUCAAACUGGCUUGGCAAGGGCAGGCAGGCCUGAGGCCAUAGCUUGGCUGCAGGGCCUGGGAAGGAACUCUGAGACUGUGCACUCAAAAGGAACCCGGAGCCUUCUCUCCCAAAGCAGCUACCCACCUUCUUUGUAUCUCUAAGCUCCUGCUUGGCUGGAGGUAGUAACAUAUUAAUGAUAAGAAUGAAAAUUAAUUAAUCCCCU